ensembl:snoRNA SNORA70 Small nucleolar RNA SNORA70
CUACAGAUAUUUUCUGAAUUGGCAAGUCCACCAAGAAACUAUAAAAAUGUGUGUGUGCAAUGGCUGCACACAGCAGCUUCCUUGGUAGUGUACGCAGCCUGUUGGUUGUAUGGGUUGCUCUAAGGGACCUUGGAGACAGGC